rnacentral:lncRNA from 1 species
CAGCCCCUGGCAACCACCAGUCUAUUCUCUGCUUCAACGAUUUCGACUAUUUAAGAUAAGUCAGGAGCUGCCACACCGUUUCUACAGUGGCUGUGUCAUUUUACACUUCCAUCAGCAAGGCACCAAGGUUCCAAUUUCUCCACAUCCUCAAAACACUUAUUUUCUCUUUUGUUUUGUUUGAUAAUGCCCAUUGUAAUGGAUGUAAAGUGGUAUUUCAUCAUAGUUUUUACUUUCAUGUCUCUAAUUAUUAGUGAUGUUUAGUAUGUUUUCAUAUGUGUAUUGGCUGUUCGUAUAUUUUAUUUGGAAAAAUGUUAUUCUAGUAUCUUGCCCAUUUUAAAAAUCAAGCUGUUUGUUACUGUUGAAUUGUAGUUUUUAUAUAUUCUGAAUAUUAAUCUCUUGUCACACAUAUGAUCGCAAAUAUUGCCUUUUCAGUCUCUUGACAUUGUAUUUUGAAAGACAAAUAUUUAAAAUUUUGAUGAAGUUCAAUGUAUCUAUUUUUUGUUUUAGCCUGUGCUUUCAGAAAAUUAAAAUAAUGGAACUCCAAAUAGUUUUGCUGAAAGGAAAUUACAUAUUAGCUUCGUACAAGCACAUACUGCCAAAAGAGGAGAAAAAGUUCAGCUUAUUGAAAUUCUUGUAUACUUAAAAGAUGUAAAUAUGUUUUUUGAAGUUUUUAAUUGUUCAAUUAUUCUUGGGUUUGGGAUUGCAUGUCUAAGUAAUCCAAUAGAUGGCUAGAUGUUCUCUCUAUGACUUGUUUGGUCCUGCCUUCCACUGGACAUUUUCCCAUACAUAUCUAGGAGUAUGUAUUCUAAACUGUAUCUCAACAUUUAAUUCAAAACAAUUAAUAAUCAGUUUAAAAGCUGCAAGGCACUUAGUAUUUAUAAUAAACUUUUAAAAUUUAAAAGGCAACUUCUCAAUUAUCUUGUAAAGAAGUAUUAGUGAAUAUAUCCAGUCAACCUUAUAGGUUAUCUUUGCCUUUCAUUGUUUUGACUAGCCUAUUUUCCAACCUUAGAGAGAUAGAAAUUAAUUUGUAGAAAAUACAUAUCUAUGCAAGCAAUUUCUGUUCAUAGAAAUGCAGUCUGUCUGGUGGAGGUUCAAUUUAUUUUGUUUCCCUAAUAGGAGAGGCCAGUUUUGAAUCUAUUAAGCAAAUUCAUUUUAGGAUUUCUAAUGGCCUCUGCAUAUGUCUGCUCUGUGGAUUCUUCUUCUUACUAGUUAUACAUUUUUUUUUCUGAUUCUCUCGUUAACUAAAGAGUUAAAUAAAAUCUUUGACAAAUAUUUAUUUUCUAUGAGAGCUGUAAUUUUGAACAUUAAAAAUAAUAUUUAAUGGCCAAUACCCCAUUAAAAUAG